rnacentral:rRNA from 1 species
AUUGAACGCUGGCGGAAUGCUUUACACAUGCAAGUCGAACGGCAGCACGGACUUCGGUCUGGUGGCGAGUGGCGAACGGGUGAGUAAUGUAUCGGAACGUGCCCAGUCGUGGGGGAUAACGUAGUGAAAAUUACGCUAAUACCGCAUACGAUCUAUGGAUGAAAGCGGGGGAUCGCAAGACCUCGCGCGAUUGGAGCGGCCGAUAUCAGAUUAGGUAGUAGGUGGGGUAAAGGCCCACCAAGCCAACGAUCUGUAGCGGGUCUGAGAGGACGACCAGCCACACUGGAACUGAGACACGGUCCAGACUCCUACGGGAGGCAGCAGUGGGGACUUUUGGACAAUGGGCGAAAGCCUGAUCCAGCCAUUCCGCGUGCAGGAUGAAGGCCCUCGGGUUGUAAACUGCUUUUGUACAGAACGAAAAGGUUUCUACUAAUACUAGGAGCUCAUGACGGUACUGUAAGAAUAAGCACCGGCUAACUACGUGCCAGCCGCCGCGGUAA